GCCACAAUCACCAUCAUUCUCUUCAAGGUCACAAACUAACUGAAAGAAGUCUGCAAGGACGGAAAAAGUAUUUUUUGGUGACGAAAAGACUUCUGCUGUCCACCUGUCCACUUCACCCACCAGUUCUCCUCACCUUUCCAGGAGCACAGAGAAACCUCAGCAGAAGGACUGUGAGGAUCUGGUCACUGUGGUCCUGAGUCUGGGCCAAGCUCUGCUCCUGUGUGUGGCUGUGAUUGCAGUCCUGGCCUACAUUACCCAUAUGAGAAGAACUGGAGGACACAGGCAUUUAACAAAAACUGUCUGACAUGGGAAUCAAUAAACAAGAAGAGUCCAAUAUACGCAGUGCAACUAAACCGCUAUUGGGCAUCAACCAGACACCUUGUUAGAUUUGCACCUAUAAGCAUUUUUAAUGAAUCAACAGUUCUGAUGUAAAAUUAUUCCAAUAUGCUGGACAUUUUGCUGGACUCCUUUUGUCUGGCUAUAAAAUGUGUUCAUGCAUAUAAAGUAGGAAUGGAAAAUAGAUAUGAAUGUGUACAAGUAACAUCUAUGAUAUGUGUAAUAACUGGAAGAAAAUAUCU